AGAACGAACGCUGGCGGCAGGCUUAACACAUGCAAGUCGAGCGCAUCCUUCGGGAUGAGCGGCAGACGGGUGAGUAACACGUGGGAAUCUACCCCUCUCUACGGAACAACUCCGGGAAACUGGAGCUAAUACCGUAUACGCCCUCCAUUAGAGAUAUUGGUGGGAAAGAUUUAUCGGAGAUGGAUGAGCCCGCGUUGGAUUAGCUAGUUGGCGGGUAAAAGCCCACCAAGGCGACGAUCUGUAGCUGGUCUGAGAGGACGACCAGCCACACUGGGACUGAGACACGGCCCAGACUCCUACGGGAGGCAGCAGUGGGGAAUUUGGACAA
rnacentral:rRNA from 1 species